AACGAACGCUGGCGGCAUGCCUAACACAUGCAAGUCGAACGCGUGUAGCGAUACACGAGUGGCGGACGGGUGAGUAACGCGUGGGAACCUGCCCAAUGGUAGGGAAUAACUGCGGGAAACUGCAGCUAAUACCCUAUGCUCCCUACGGGGAAGAUUCAUCGCCAUUGGAGGGGCCCGGCGUCGGAUUAGCUAGUUGGCGGGGGUAAUGGCCCACCCAAGGCUACGAUCCGUAGCUGGCUGAGAGGAUGA
rnacentral:rRNA from 1 species